rnacentral:rRNA from 1 species
UACAGAGGGUGCUAGCGUUGUUCGGAAUUAUUGGGCGUAAAGGGCGUGUAGGCGGGAGCGUGUGUCAGAUGUGAAAUCCCUCGGCUUAACCGAGGAAGUGCAUUUGAAACUACGUUUCUUGAGUGCGAAAGAGGGAGAUGGAAUUCACAGUGUAGAGGUGAAAUUCGUAGAUACUGUGAGGAACACCGGUGGCGAAGGCGGUCUCCUGGUUCGUUACUGACGCUGAGACGCGAAAGCGUGGGGAGCAAACAGGAUUAGAUACCCUGGUAGUCCACGCUGUAAACGAUGAAUACUUGAUGUGGGAGGAAUUAACCCCUUCCGUGUCGUAGCUAACGCGGUAAGUAUUCCGCCUGGGAAGUACGGUCGCAAGAUUA